UGUCCACAGGGUCUAUCUUUCGCUCCGGCGAUGUCGUGUUAAUCCUGGUCACCAAGGAUAACACUUGCAUGAUUAUAUUUUUCCUAUUUUACUUUAUUUUGUGAUAUAUUCACAUAAACGAUGAGUUAGACUAAGUACUUUUAGUACUAGUCAAUAGAAAGGAAAAACUAUCAUAGUCACAAUAGAACAUUCAGGUCUUGGUAGAAGACUACUUAGUCAUAACAAAACAUUCGGGUCUUGGUAGAAGACUACUUAGUCAUAACAAAACAUUCGGGUCUUGGUAGAAGACUACUUAGUCAUAACAAAACAUUCGGGUCUUGGUAGAAGACUACCUAGUCAUAACAGAACAUUAGGGUCUUGGUAGAAGACUAUCAUAUCAUUUUCC
rnacentral:lncRNA from 1 species